UUGUGCUGCUACCGAGGGCCAUGUCUGGGUCCUUGGCUGUGUAAUUGCAGCAGCAGCAGCAGCAGCAGCAGCAGCAGCAGCAGCAGCAGCAGCAGCAGCAGCAGCAGGAAUU
ensembl:miRNA Gm44329 predicted gene, 44329